rnacentral:misc_RNA from 1 species
GAUGAAGAACGCAGCGAAAUGCGAUAAGUAAUGUGAAUUGCAGAAUUCAGUGAAUCAUCGAAUCUUUGAACGCACAUUGCGCCCUUGGUAUUCCGAAGGGCAUGCCUGUUCGAGCGUCAUUAUAACCACUCAAGCUCUCGCUUGGUAUUGGGGUUCGCGGUCUCGCGGCCCCUAAAAUCAGUGGCGGUGCCUGUCGGCUCUACGCGUAGUAAUACUCCUCGCGAUUGAGUCCGGUAGGUGACUUGCCAGCAACCCCCAAAUUUUUCAGGUUGACCUCGGAUCAGGUAGGGAUACCCGCUGAACUUAAGCAUAUCAAUAAGCGGAGGA